rnacentral:rRNA from 1 species
GUCUACUGCCAUGCCACCUUAAACGAGCCAGAUCCCAUCUGAUCUCACAAGCUAAGCAGGUUCAGGCCUGGUUAGUACUUGGAUGGGGGACCACCUAGGAAGACCAGGUGCUGAAAAAU